GACGUAGGGCGCGAGCGUUGUCCGGAUUUAUUGGGCGUAAAGAGCUCGUAGGCGGCUUGUUGCGUCGACUGUGAAAACCCGCGGCUUAACUGCGGGCUUGCAGUUGAUACGGGCAGGCUAGAGUUCGGUAGGGGAGACUGGAAUUCCUGGUGUAGCGGUGAAAUGCGCAGAUAUCAGGAGGAACACCGGUGGCGAAGGCGGGUCUCUGGGCCGAUACUGACGCUGAGGAGCGAAGGCCAGGGGAGCAAACGGG
rnacentral:rRNA from 1 species